rnacentral:lncRNA from 1 species
GGGGAUGAAGUAGCUAACCUUUACAACACUUUGGAUGAGUGAAAUCCCCACAGAAAUGUGGAAAAAAAAUCGGGCAUCACCUCCUUAUGGUUGUUUGCUCACCAUGGAGAAGGAGAAAGAAGUUCUGGUGAGUGGCUCGGGUUCGGGGAGGAAGAAGGUGAAUUUAUAGGCAAGGAGCUUUUAGCCUAGUUGGAAAUACCAAUCGGGACAAAAGCCUCCCCUCAGCUGCACAUCAGUGAACGUUGCAUGAUAUAUUUCAUCUCGAAGGUUACUUACGCGCACAAAGUCAUACACCUUGAGUGUUAAGAUUUGAUUGUUCAAAAAAAAUUCUCUCAACAGAAUAAUUUACUACGUCAACUUUGCCACGGCAAGCAUUAUUUGCAUCAGGAGAGAAAAAAUGGGAUAAGAAUAAAAUUAAAAAACAUUAAAGUAUCCAAUAGUAAUUUUAAUAAUAUGAGUUAUGUUUAUAUGAAAAUUGAAAAUAAAAAUAUUAUUCAACUAGAAGUUUUUUCUGAAAGGUAAUUUAGCUGAAAGUGUACAUAUGAUUGAUUCUUUGGAACAGUAUGAGAUAAUUUUUAUCGGAUGGAUCAGAGAGUUAAAAGAAUGAACUGGUUGACAUAAUCCAAAUGGCUCCGAUCUGAAAGCAUCCGGGGAACUUUUUUUUUGGAAAAAGGUAUUUAGAAGGAAACUCUAAACCUUUUGCAUACAUGUUGUUCCACGACUCAACGCCACGACAUCCCACUCCACACAGAGCUUUUUUACAAUCUCACUUCGUAGUGAUGUAGACUAGACUAUUGGGAUUUUGUUUCCAUUUUGACGAAGCAUGUUACACUACUAAAAAACGUUUCCAGGGGCGGUUGGAAUGACAUUUGUAGGGGCUGACGCGCCACCCACUCCUAGCUUUUGCAGCUACAAAUAGCGGUUUGCAAAGC